ensembl:lncRNA
ACUCCGUCUCCAAAAAUAAAAUAAAAAUGGUUAAACUAUGUGAAAUUGAAAAGUCAUAUAAAAAUAGAUGGAAGGAAAAGGAAAACCAAAUUAAGAAAACAAAAUACCUACAAAAUCACUGAAGUCUUGAUUAACAAAUCCAAACCAAAAAUGAUGGCUAACUAUGAUCAAGCAAAAAAGAAAGAGAAUAAGAGAGAAAUCUCGAGAAAUCUCCUCUCUUAUUCCUAAUAUAGUAUUAUUUUCCCAAAUAAUACUACGUUCAAAUGUUUUCCCAAAUAAUCCUAUAUUAGGAACAAGAGAGGAGAUUUAACUGCAAUUACAGAAGAUGUUUUUUAAAUUGUAAGAGAGUUUUCUAUAUUACUUCUACACAUAAAUUGGAAAACUUAAGAAAUUUAUUAGUACUGAUUUGGAUGCAAAUAACAGGUACUCAAUUCAAAUUAGAUGAAGCAAAAAAAAAAAAAAAAAUGACAUACUGACUCAAAAACCUGAGAAGCCCAGAGGGCUGUGCUCACUCCAUACCUGGCUGGGUCCAGGGGAUCAAUGUCUUAAGAAUUCUCUCACUCUUUCCCACUACAUCUCUCAGUUCAGCUCAGACAGCUCAGACAGGUAUCCAGGAAACACAGCCAUCUACAGCCACAAGCUCACAUCUUACUAGCUUAAGAACCAAAAUAGAAAAAUAAAACAUUUCCCCUCUGAUGUCUAUAUAUCAAUCCAAGAAAAGACUCUGAUUGUCCCUCCUCAGAUCUUGUCUUCUCUAUCCCUAUAAUUAAGUAGGCAGCAGAUCACCUCAGGUGGCAGCCAUUAUGGGAUCAUUGUGAAUGUAGGGGCAGUUUCCUAAAGGACAUGAUGUUGUUACACAGGCAAAAAUGACUGAUGUCUACGACAACAAAAAUGUGAUUUAUCAAAACUGAUUAAAGAAGAGUUCGAAAAUCUGAAUAUGCCACUAAUUACAAAUUAAAUUGAAAAUGCUAUAUAUCUACCGCCCCUAAAAGGUACCAGUUUCAAACUGUUCUAUCAAACUAACAAAGGGCAGAUCAUUCCUGAGUUAUUUAAAUUGUUCCAGUUCACAGAAAAAGAGAAAGAGCGUGCUAUUUAACAAAACUAGCGUUGCUCUCUUUCCAGAGCUAGAUUAAACAAUAAUGGGGCAUUCGGGAGAGGAAAUUGUAGACAAAUCUCACCUAUGAAUAUAGACAUAAAAAUCCUUAAUAAGAUAUUAGGAAAUUGAAUUCAAUAAAGUAUUAAAAGAAUAAUACAACAUAACCAAGUAAAAUACAUCCUAACAUAUUAUUAGUGUAUUUUACCAUAAUUCACCACAUUAACCGAUUAAUGAAGAAAAACCAUAUCAUCACUUCAACAGUUUCCAGCAUAUUUUUAUAAAACUCAACAGCCAUACAUAUAUAUAUAUAAAAAUUUUUUUUUUUUUUGAGACAGAGUCUAACUUUGUCACCCAGGCUGGAAGUGAGACUGUCUCAAAAUAAAAUAAAAUGACAUCAAUUAUCAGGACUCAUGAAUGCCCACAAUAACAAAUAAUACAGAAAUAUGUGUUUUAUGAAAAUUAAUAUUUGAAAUGGAGGCAUAAAAACCUCUAUUUACCUCACCAUCACCACCAAUGUAUCAUUCCCACCUGCAUACUUGGUCAGUAGAAACUCAUUGUAAAUUAGCUUCUCAGAUUUUUACUCUCUUUGAUGGGGAGUGAUACCUGACAAUAAUCAAUUGUACCAUUAUUCUUUGUAUCAGAAUUAUUUGUGUAUCUUAUUUUCCCUAUGAGAUAAGAAACUUCCUCUUUGUAUUCCAUCCCUACAACAACUUGGGUGCAGUAGGUAUACAGUGAUUAUCAAUUUGAAUAUUGCAUGAAGGUAAGGGACAGAGAGAAAGAAGAGUUAAAGCAGAGGGAAGAGUCGGGUCAGAAAGGCUAAAGGAGAUAAGUCAUAUGAGUCUUUCUUACUCAUUUCCUUCCAUGGAUAAAUUCUCAUUAUCUGAACACCUUACAUUUAAAAGUGGUAAGAAUUUUAGAGUAGAGUAUUCAGCAUUUGAGGAAUUUAUCAGGAAAAGACUAGGAAAUAUCCCCCAUAUCAUGCAGCUAAAGUGUGGAGGCCAUUCCUGAUUUUUUGUAGGACUUGAA